rnacentral:lncRNA from 1 species
CAUAUCACAUGUGGUUUUGAUGUUGGGUAAUGAAGAUGAAUUGCCUCAGCCUAAACAACCAGGAUUUUUCACUGAAAGGGAUCUUGAUGAAGCAAGCUAUUCAUCGAGCCAGAACAAACCACCUUCGGCAAACGGAUGCUCGAUUUCAAUGUUAGAGGCAAGAUAGAUUGCUUUUAUUUCAUUUCAAGUGAUUAAAGGCGAAUUAAUAUUCGAUAGAUGUUCUAGUUGCAGAACAGCAAUUACGAACAAAAGCAAGUCAAAUAAAUGCUUCUAAAGCUUACUGUCUCUAUGAACGUGAAGAAAUUGAAGACAAGUAUCUUCAUGUAAUCCAAGAGUUGCAGCUACAUUUAUGAAUCAUGGAGAGGGGACUCCAGAUAUUUCUCUUACUUGAUGUUCAUGUAUCAUCAAGACUUGCCAGCUAGUAUUUCAUCUUAUAGAUUUGAACAUUUCAUUAGAACAUUUGUAUAUAAGUUUGUUUUUGAAACAUAAAUUACCAUCAAGUUUGUGAUAAUAUUUUAAGAUUAAUAAGUUCUCUUUUAUAAUUUAGAUCCAAGAAAGUUCAUAUUAAUUUUACUAUCUAUGUAAGUUCAUUUUACGACUAUAAAGGUAGAAAAUAUAAUUCUUCAUGUCUGAAAAAUAUUUUUUAAAAAGAAUAAAUUUUUUUAAUUAUUAUUUGUAUAAGGGGGUGCUCUGAAUUAUAGAAAUUAACAAUGAUAAAAUUAUAUGAUAAAAUGUUUUUUAUUUUUUUUCUAAGAUAAAAAAGAUAAGUAAUAAAUUUAAAAAUGCAUUGUUAGGAUUUUAUAGGAAAAUACAAUAAACAUAAAAUUAGUUGGAAGGAAAACUUGAAAUCUAAAUUUAUAAGUUUAACAAAAAUUUAUAAGUUUACUCCAUCUAUCCCUUCUAUAUAUUAAAAAAACAUAUCACUAUUUUUUAUUCCCACUUUUCCAAAACACCUCUUUAAUUAGGAAUAUUAUAGUUUAAAAGGUUUUUUUUUUAGGAAUAUCCAUAGUACGAAACUCUUGAGUAGAGGUAUAAUAGUUGUCUCGAAAAAUUCUCGCAAAACAAAAUGAUUGAUUGCUCGAUCAACCACUCCGAGAAAGAAUUAAUCUCUCCAGUUAGAGUGAUCAUGACAAGUAAAAGUUCAUUAAUAUGAUCAUGAGUUGAGCAAGAAAUUUAUUAAUAAGACUAUGAUUUUGUCGCUCGAGGAAUCGUUUUUGAGUUAGACUCUAUUUAUUUAUUAAUAAAAACAUUAGUAUCUUUGAAAUAGCAAGUCAUGUUGAAUGAUUACUAAGUUGAGGUGACCAGCACCGAGAAAAAAAAUGUGGUGUGGCUCCCAUAUGAACUAGAUCGUGGAUAAGUCUCUUUUUUUUUUUUUUUUUUUUUGUCAAAAUUAGUACACUUCAUUCAUACAAAAUACAUCAUCAAAAUAUAACUACAUAAUUCUUUGCAAAAAUAAGUUCCGUGUAAUGGGGUUUAUAGGUACCUCAUUGUUGAAACGUCCCUGUUGUAGUACAAGUAUUUACAAGAAUUAUAAACAAUUACUAAUAACAGUUAAAUAAUUUAACGAAAACAUUAAUGUUAUUCUUUAUUAAGGCAUAACAAGCGUAGUUCUUGCAUAUACUUGAUAUAUACAAAACAUAGUACACAUGAACACAUCAAUUCUUGAAACUAACUAGUAACUCCCAGAUCUGGCUAUCCUCUUAGGAUGUCAUUAGCUGAAGCUAAUUAUUUACUCAUCUCAGUCAUCCACUUAGGAUGUCGUUAGCCGAAACUAAUCAUUUAAUCAUCUCAGUCAUCCAUGUAGAACGCCAUUAGCCAAAGCUAUUCAUUUAAUCAUCAACAAAUACUCUCUUGAUGGUUUGGUAUUUAUACUAUCGCGAUAUUAUGACAUUUAUAAUAAAACAUUUGAUAAAUUAACAUUAUCAAAGAGGAAGGUAAAAAUCCACCUACAUGUUCCACCUGUGAGGUGUCCUUGUCCUUGUCGCACCCGACAUCGCGGCGAUCCUAAAAAUAAUUCUUUGAUUAGGGAAAAAGAACAGAUUUAUGGCAUCUUGUUCUUUUAGGAAAAUGGUCUUGUUUAAGGAGUCGCCACCUAAUAUUAUGGUCACUAGGAACCCUAACUGGUCAACAGAGAUUCUAUGGUACGGGAUUGGUUACGUAAAAGAGAAGAUAUUAUCACCCCUUAAACGUUCUGCCUGAGGCAGACUGCAUUGCUGAUUUUGUCUUAAAUUGCUAAAUAUUUAUUGGUUUAUGCUCUGAUGGUUUACUUGCAAUAUUCCUGACUCUGGCGUCAGUGAAUAUUCAACUACGAAUAAUUCCAACUCUGGCGUUGGUAAAUAUUACGUAGCUAUAAAAUAAAUGUGGAUCAAUAUUUUUAUUCCUGACUCUGGCGUCAGUGAAUAAACAAAUAAAAUAAAUUUAUUUUUACACAUGCACAUAUUUUUUAUUUUUCUAGCUAAAUAAAAUAAAAUAUAAUGAAUAAAAAUAAUAUAAAUUUAAACCGGUAUUUUUAUUCCUGACUCUGGCGUCAGUGAAUAAACCAAUAAAUUUAUAUUAUUUUUAUUUAUGCAUACACAUUUUUUUAUUUAUUUUUUAUUUUUUCUAUUUUUUCUAUUUUUUAUUAUUUAUGUUUUUGGGGGCUGGGCCUAGCUCAGCCCAUGUGGGGGCUGGGCUGGACCCAGCCAGCCCGGCCUGGCCACUGGCCCAAGCCAGUGGCCCAGCUGGGCAAAAGAAGAAGAAGCACGCGUGAAGUAAAUUCACGCGUGCAUGAAUAGUGUGAAGGUAAUUAAAUUACCUUCACACUGCAUUUGAAAGUUUUAUUGAAUGCAGAGAAUGGAAACUUACCUGUGCAGCGGAGGACGGCGACGAAAACGAUGGCGCGGUGGCUGUUUUCUUUUGUUUCCCGGUGUGGCUCCACUGCCUUUUGGGUUGUUCUUUUUCUCUGCGUAUUAAGCCCCGUUGUUCCCCUGUUUUCUGGGUUUUUCUAUGGAUUCUGCUCCAGUUCUCUCCUCUGGUUUCCGGUCCCAAAAAUCCCCUGUCUUCGUCUGUGUCCUGGCUUCCUCCUCUGCCGGUUCACUCCCCAGCUUUUCCUUCCUCAGUUUUUCUUCGUUUGGUUCGUGCUCUCUGUUUGGGUUCUGUUUUUUUUUUUUUUUUUGCGGUCCUCUGUUUUUCUUUCCUGCCGUCCGUGGCUUUUUUCUUCCCCCGGUUUUUUUCUUCCUCUCCUGUUCGUUCGUCUCCUCUGUUUCUUUUUGAAGAAACCAGAGGCUACCUCACGUCCACUCCUUUUCUUUUUCCUUUUGUCCCACUCCCCUGUUCUGGGUCUCCUUUUCUCUUAGUUUUUCCCCAGUUUUUCUUCAGUUUUUCUUCCCCUGUUUCUGUUUCGUUUUCUUCGUAGUUUUUUUUGUUUCCCCCCCCCCCCCUUCCUCGAGGUUGCCUUUUGCCCAGAUUUUAUAAGGCCAGAGGUCGAUCGGCGUUGUAACGGUCGGCAGUAAUGGCGUGGGGCGCUGCAUUCAAUGGACAAACGUCUCUGCCUUUAAUGGCGGAGCCGUUGCAGAGGAAGAAGACGAGCGAACAGUCGCCUCCCAAAACGACUCCGUUUCCCAUCCCAAAGGCUUCUUUCAAUUUGGUCCUCGAACGUUUGUGCUUUUGCAAUCAGGCCCCUGGUUAAAAUGUAAUUGGAUCCUUGCAUUUCCGCGCCAUUUUCAAGCUGGUCCUUGGAUUUAAUUUUUUCAAUUUGGACCCCAAUUAAACCCCAAACUUUGAUAUUUUUUCAAUUAAGUCCAUGAUUUCAUUAAUUAAAUUAAUUCCAAGCCAAUUAAGUCCAAAAACUUAUCAAUUCUCCAAUUAAACCCUUGAUUGGAUUAAUUAAAUUAACUUCAAACUCAAUUAAGUUUCAAAACUUAUCAAUUCUUCAAUUAAAACCUUGAUUGGAUUAAUUAAAUUAAUUUCAAGCUCAAUUAAAUCUCAAAACUUAUCAAUUCUCCAAUUAAAACCCUUAACUUGGUUAAUUAAACAAGUCAAAAAUUUAAUUAAAUCUUUAAACUUCCAAUCAUGUUACCCUUAACCCAAACUUUAACUCAUUCUUCAUUUAUUUUAUUUUUACUUGUUUUUCAUCAUUUUUUCAGUUAAAAAAAAAGGAUAAAAAAUUGGGUUAUGACAGUCCUGACGAAGGUCCGAUCCCAAUCACACAACCUAAAACAUUGAUGGCCACAAAUUAGUACAUUCGUAUUCAGUAAUUGCACAACUCUUCACCAUGCAUGUCUCAAGCAUACACAAGUUCAUAUUCAAGUGUUCCAUAUAUUACAACCACAUAAUACAAUCAUUUUAGUCAUUGGAUCCAUUCAAAUACGUAAAUCUGCUGUAAAAAUUAGUUAGCAAAAGCUAGUUUGCUAGUGACGCAAAUUCGUUAGUGGACUGCUUUGCUGGAACACAGAAUCGUCAGCGAAUUGAUUCACUAACAAUACAGAAAUUUAACAGCGAAAUCUGAUUCGUUGCAGACACCACAAUUCGGCAGCGAAGCAAAAACUAAUUCGUCGUGGACAACACAAUUCAGUAGUGAAAAUCUGAUUCGCUGUGGACAACACAAUUCAACAGCGAAACUGAUUCGCUGUUGACACCACAAUUCAAUAGUGAAGACUGAUUCGAUGCAGACUACACAAAUUGGAAGGAAACAUCCACAUAUGUUUUGCUUUCAGUGAAAAUGUGAAUCGCUGUGGACAACACAAUUCAGCAGCGAAAACUGAUUCGCUGCUGACACCACAAUUCAGCAGAGAAGACUAAUUCGCUACAGACAACACAAUUCGACAGCAAAAACCUGAUUCACUACGGACAACACAAUUCGACAGCAAAACUAAUUCGCUACUGACAUCACAAUUCGAUAAUGAAAAUUGAUUCGCUACAGACAACACAAUUUGGUAGCAAAAACCUGAUUCGCUGCAGGCAACACAAUUCAACAGCGAAACUGUUUCGCUACAGACAACACAAUUUGGCAACAAAAACUGUUUCGCUGCAGACAACACAAUUCGGCAGCGAACGCUAAUUUACUGCAGACACUAUAAUUCAGCAGCGAACAUUGAUUCGUUGCAUGCAACACAAUUCGAGAACGAAUGCUAAUUCGCUGCAAACACCAUAAUUCAGCAGUGAACACCUAAUUCACUAUAGACAACACAAUUCUGCAGCGGAUGCUAAUUCGUUGCAGACAACACAAUUUGACAGCGAACGCUAAUUCAUUGCAGACAACACAAUUCAGCAACAAACACCUCUUUUGCUGCAGAUAACAUAAUUCAGUAGAGAACACUGAUUUGUUGCAGACAACACAAAUUGGUAAGAAACAUCCACAUGCAUUUCGGUUCUAGCACAUAGUUUGUUACUAAAAUCAAGCAGAAUCAUAUGAUUUCAAGCAUGAACAAUUACAUGCAAUUCAGUUCCAGCGCAUAGUUUGUUAUUAAAAUCAAGCAGAAUCAUAUAAUUUCAAGCAUGAAAAACUACAUCCAAUUCAGUUCCAGCGCAUAGUUUGUUAUUAAAAUUCAGCAUAAUCACAUAAUUUCAAGCAUGAACAAAUAUAUGCAAUUCAGUUCUAGCACACAGUUUGUUAGUACAAUCCAGCAGAACCAUAUAAUUUCAAGCAUGGACAUCUACCUAUAUGUUAUCACACAAUACAUUCUGGCCAACCCUUCAGCUAUGGCCAACCCUCUUCUAUAGUUUGUUCAUUCCAUUUAUUUAUUUGUCUUUGUUAAGUGUUCUGGAAUUUGGUCUCAUUUCAUCUCUAUUUUCAUGUUCUCCUAGUUGAUUUCGGUUUCCUUUAUAGCUGCCUAGAAGUCCUAGGUCAAUUUUCUUAAGGUCUUCUUCUUCAUUUCGGUUCUAGGGUCUAAAGAACAAGAGGAAAGAAGUUAUAUGACCCAUACCUUUUGAAUCUAAUUAGGUUUGGGGAAAGUUUGACAGUAUUCCUUCUCUUCUUCUCCCAGUUCUCCCCUCUUCUUCUUCCUCUCUCGGUUUCUAGCCCUUUUCUCCUUCCCUCUAGGCAGUUGUUCAAUCUUCUUUGAAGUUCUCAACUCUUUCUCUCUCACAUGUUCAAAGAGGCACUUAGUGCUGGCUUGGUUUAAUUUUUGUUGGAAAGGAGGAAGAGAAGAGAAGCAUGCAGCUGAACAUGCAGCUGCUGCAAACAUAUUUUGAGAAAAGGAAGGGUCACCUUCUCUCUUCUCCUUAUAUUUGUAUCCUCUUUUAAAGAGCUAGGGUGUUUGGGUGCUGGUUUAAGUUUAUUCUUUUCCUCUCUUUGGUUAUUCCAAGACCGGUUUCUCCCCCCUCCUAACUCUUUAAGGUAGACCGGUUUGCUCCUCUAACUAUCACUUAACAUUAGCCGACCUUUUACUUAGAUUUCUGUUGGGUAUUAUAGCCACGAAUGACACAUAAAUUCAUCAGUGCACACAACCACUGUUGACUAAAGAAUUGUCACCAAAAACUGAGUCGUUACCGAUUUAGAAAUCAACAGCGAAAACUAUAUCGCUGUCAUUUUAGAAAUCAACAACGACAGUGGGGUUGAUUUUGGCAUUCAUUUUUGUUGGAUGUUUACAUUCUCGCCUCUUAACAUGAAUUUCAUCCUCGAAAUUUAAGCGGUUUCAUAAUUCAUACCUGGUAGUUCAAAUAGAUUGAGGUACUUUUUCCUCAUUUCGUACUCCUUUUUCCUCCUUUAUUUAAGCAUUUUGCCAUAAGAUUCUGACGAUGAGGAUCUGUUUGUUCCAUAGUUCUUUCACUUUCCGAUCUAGUAUCCUUACGGGCCUUAAUUCGAGUGUUAAGUCUUCCUUGACUUCUACUGGAACUUGAGGUAGGAUUCGAGCGGGAUCCACGUCAGCCUUUCUUAACUAGGAGACAUGGAACACAUCAUGGACCUUGGCUAAUUAUGGGGGCAAGUCCACUUUGUAGGCUACUUGCCUGAUUUUCUGCAAGAUUUUGAAGGGCCUGAUAAAGCGGGAGUUAACUUCCCUUUCAAUCCGAAAUGUAACAUGUUCUUUCACGGGGCCACCUUCAGGAACACCUGGUCCCCCGCACUGAACAUGAGAGGUCUCCUCCUCACAUUAACAUACUUUUUUGUCUAUCCUGUUCGGCUUUGAUGCGAUCCCUAAUGGUUCUCACUUUCUUCAUGGUGACUUGAACUAACUCCGUGUCAUACAACUUUCAGUCCCCAACUUCUUCCCAACAUAAAAGAGUCCUGCACUUCCUACCAUACAAGGCUUUGUAAGAGGUCAUCCCUAUUAUGGCUUGGUUACUAUUGUUAUACAUAAACUCCAUUAAUGCUAUGUGUUCCUUUUAGUUUCCUUCAAAUUCUACACAUGCCCGUAAUAGGUUUUCCAAGACUUGGAUGACUCUUUCUGACUGGCCAUCAGUUUGGGGGUGAAACACAAUGCUCAUAUCCAAUCUUGUCCCCAAGGUGUGUUGUAUGCUCAAUCAAAGUCGAGAGGUGAACCCGGGAUCUCGAUCUGAGAAAAUGGAUACUGGAAUCCCAUGGAGUCGUACCGCCUCGUUUAUGUAAAUCAUGGCAAGCUUGUCUAUCGAAUCAGUCAUCUUUAUGAGCAAGAAUAGUGUGGAUUUCAUCAAGCGAUCUACGAUGACCCAAAUUGCAUCAUUUCCUUUUCUCUCUUUAGGAAAUCCAGACACAAAAUCCAUGGUGAUCAUCUCCCACUUUCGUUCUAGAAUUUGUAAUGGUUGCAAUGGUCUCGCGGGUCUUUUAUGUUCAACAUACUAGGCUAUUUUCCUUUUCAUAUUAGGCCACCAAUAGAGGUGUUUCGAGUCUCGAUACAUCUUAGUGCUGCCAAGAUGUAUGGAGAACUUAGACUCAUAUGCUUCUUGUAGAACCAUCUGUUUGACUGUCUUGUCAUUAGACAUGUACAAUUGUUGACCCAUCAUCAAAGAAGUUCGAGUAUACCACCAUAAAUUUAUCAAAGUAUGGUUAAAAAACCCGAUUGAUUAAGUCCAUGAAGAGGGCUGGGGCAUUCGUCAACAGGAACGGUAGCACCAAAAACUCAUAGUGUCCAUAAUGGGUCCUAAAUGCGGUCUUUGCUACAUCCACCUCUUUAAUCUUCAUUUGAUAGUACCCUAACCUCAUAUCUAUAUUUGAAAAUGCCCUCGCUCCCUUUAGUUGAUCAAAUAAAUCAUCUAUAUGUGGUAACAGGUACUUAUUUUUCAUCGCUAUUUUGUUCAACUUACGAUAAUCAAUACAAAGUCUAUGGGUUCCAUCUUUCAUUCUUACGAAUAGAACUGGCUCUCCCCAAGGAGAAUUACUGGCCUGUAUAAACCCCAUGUCUAGCAAUUCUUGCAGUUGAUUCUUUAACUUGUUCAAUUCUGUUGGAGCCAUCUGGUACGGUUGUUGGGCUAUGGGUGGGAUUCCAGGGAAAGUAUCUAUAGACAUUUCUAUCUCUCGCUCUGGGGGUAGUCCUGGUCGUUCUUCAGGAAACACAUCCAGGAAUUCCUUCACCAUAGAAAUAUCCUUCAGUCGCGGACCUCUGUCAUUAAAGUUUAAGAUGUAUACAAGGUAUCCCAUACAUCCCUUUCCCAGAAGUUUCUGAGCUGUUACAACCGAUAUUAAGGUGGUCGGUUUGGGAAUUCUCUCUCCUUCGAAAAUCAUCCCCUACCCUUAGGCAUUUGGAAUGUAACAGUUUUAGCAUAACAAUCUAUCAGGGCCUUGUAUUUACUAAGUCAAUCCAUGCCUAGAAUUAUAUCAAAAUCAUGCAAUUCCAAGGGAAUGAAGUCUACCUCGGAUUCAUACCCAACUAAACUAACCCCUACUCCCACAUACAUAUUAUUUGUUUCAAACAUAUUCCUCGACUAUCUCUGGAUCUUGUUCCUCUAUAUAUGGUUUGCAGCCCAUUUCCCUCAUACUUUUGAUCAGUCGCACGAGUAGCACCACGCUGUCCAUGGUCGCGACAUUCAUAGGGGUUGUCUGCGGAAUCUACAUGGCGGGAGUUGCUUGUGUCGUCGAAACGACCAUGUGCUUUAACUAUCUAAGAAGUCACGAGUCUACAUACUAUAGGGCACCCCUGUUGGGAGAGUUAAUGGUUGUGCAUAUGACCUUUCUUGUUGCCCUGCAGCAGCUGGGGGCACUACCUCUGUUCGGUUAGGCAUUUGACCUUCACCCGUUACCGUGGUUUUUCCCCGCAAAGUUUUAGGUGAUCUUACUAGAGCAUACGAUGUUGUAUCAUCCAAAUGAUCUUUGUCUUGCCAACCUUGGGCACCUCGACCCCCUCCCCUCCUUUAUAAAGAGGGCAGCUCAGUUCGUGUCUUUUGUCGGGUAGGCACCAUCCUGAAAUUCAUCACAACAACACAAUCAUCAAUGAUCCUCAGGAUCCAGACCAAGUGCUCUGAUACAAACUAUAACAACCCGGCUUUUCAAAGCCAAAACAAUAGUAAUUUUGUUUUUUGAUAACAUUCCAGAAAUUGAUAAGCCGGUUUCCACUCAUUAUUGUGGCUCAAUCUAUACGCCAAACAUCAAUCAACAUUUCAUUAACAACAAUUCUUACAUAUACAUAUAAUAUUACAUUUGCAUGAUUACAAGCUCACAUUAUAAUAUACGUACAUAAUCAUAACUUUGCCUUUCUGUACCACUAAUAGACAUCAUGAAAUUAAAUAAGAGUAUUGAAUAACAGAUACAUAAUUAGUACACUUAGUUCAUACAAAAUACAUCAUGAUUUAAAAUGUGACUGCAUGAUUCUUUGUAAAAGUGAGUUCCCAUGUAAUGAGGUUCCUAGGUAUCUCGUUGUUGAGAUGUCCCUGAUGUAGUACAAAUAUUUACAAGAAUUGUAAACAAUUACUAAUAACAAUUAAAUAGUUUCACAGAAGCAUUAAUGUUAUUCUCGGUUUAAGGCAUAACAAGCGUAAUUCUUCCAUAUACUUGAUAUAUACGAAACAUAAUACACAUGAACAUAUCAAUUCUUAAAACUAACUCGUAACUCGCAGAUCUGGCUAUCCUCUUAAGAUACCAUUAGCCAAAGCUAAUCAUUUAAUCACCCCGGUCAUCCUCUUAGGAUGCCGUUAGCUGAAGCUAAUCAUUUACUCAUCCCGGUCAUCCACUUAGGAUGCUGUUAGUCGAAGCUAAUCAUUUAAUCAUCCCGGUCACCCUCUUAGGAUGCCCUUAGCGGUCAUCCUUUUAGGAUGCCAUUAGCCGAAGCUAAUCAUAUAAUCAUCACGAUCAUCCACUUAGGACGCCAUUAACCGAAGUAAAUCAUGUAAUCAUCCUAGUCAUCCUCUUAGGAUGCUUUUAGCUGAAGCUAAUCAUUUAAUCAUCUCGGUCCCCCCCCUCUUCUAAAUAGGUUUGGGGAAAGUUUGACAGUAUUCCUUCUUUUCUUCUCUUGGUUUCCCCCUCUUCUUCUUCCUCUCUUGGUUUUUAGCCCCUUUUCUCCUUCCCUCUAGGCAGCUGUUCAAUCUUCUCUCAAGUUCUCAACUCUCUCUCCCUCUCUCACACACGUUCAAAGAGGCACUUACUGUUGGCUUGAUUUAAUAUCCGUUGGGAAGGAGGAAGAGAAAAGAAGCAUGCAGUUGAAUAUGCAGCUACUGUAGAUAGAUUUUGGAAAGAGGAAGGGUCACCUUCUCUCUCCUCCUUAUAUUUAUACCCCCUCUUAAAGAGCUUGGGUGUUUGGGUGCUGGUUUAAGUUGGUUUUUACCCCCCCCCUUUGGUUAUUCUAAGACCGGUCCCCCCCCUCUUUAACUCCUUAAGGCAGGCCAGUUUGCUCCCCUAACUAUCACUUAGCAUGAUCCGGCCUUUUACUUAGAUUUAUGUUAGGUAUUACAACCACAAAUGACGCAUAUAUUCGUCAGCGCUCAUAACCACUGUUGACUUAGGAAUCAUCACCAAAAACUGAGUCGCUGCUGAUUUAGAAAUCGACAGCGAAAACUGAUUUUUUUUCUAUUUUUUAUGAUUCUAAAUUUACAUGUAUAUAUAACAAAGACAAAAAAUUAUUAUAGUAUAAAAAUUAUCAACUCGAUGUUGGGCUGUUGUGUGUGCAAGAAAAUACAGAAGAUCGACCAAACAUAUCACAUGUGGUUUUGAUGUUGGGUAAUGAAGAUGAAUUGCCUCAGCCUAAACAACCAGGAUUUUUCACUGAAUGGGAUCUUGAUGAAGCAAGCUAUCCAUCGAGCCAGAGCAAACCAGAGCAAACCACCUUCGGCAAACGAAUGCUCGAUUUCAAUGUUAGAGGCAAGAUAGAUUGCUUUUAUUUUCAUUUCAAGUGAUUAAAGGCGAAUAUUCGAUAGAUGUUCUAGUUGCAGAACAGCAAUUACGAACAAAAGCAAGUCAAAUAAAUGCUUCUAAAGCUUAGUGUCUCAAUGGAACGUGAAGAAAUUGAAGACAAGUAUCUUCAUGUAAUCCAAGAGUUGCAGCUACAUUUAUGAAUCAUGGAGAGGGG